GACGAACGCUGGCGGCGUGCUUAACACAUGCAAGUCGAACGGAAAGGCCCUGCUUUUGUGGGGUGCUCGAGUGGCGAACGGGUGAGUAACACGUGAGUAACCUGCCCUUGACUUUGGGAUAACUUCAGGAAACUGGGGCUAAUACCGGAUAGGAGCUCCUGCUGCAUGGUGGGGGUUGGAAAGUUUCGGCGGUUGGGGAUGGACCCGCGGCUUAUCAGCUUGUUGGUGGGGUAGUGGCUUACCAAGGCUUUGACGGGUAGCCGGCCUGAGAGGGUGACCGGUCACAUUGGGACUGAGAUACGGCCCAGACUCCUACGGGAGGCAGCAGUGGGGAAUAUUGCACAAUGGGCGGAAGCCUGAUGCAGCAACGCCGCGUGCGGGAUGACGGCCUUCGGGUUGUAAACCGCUUUCGCCUGUGACGAAGCGUGAGUGACGGUAAUGGGUAAAGAAGCACCGGCUAACUACGUG
rnacentral:rRNA from 1 species